UGGGGAAUAUUGGACAAUGGGCGCAAGCCUGAUCCAGCCAUGCCGCGUGAGUGAUGAAGGCCUUAGGGUUGUAAAGCUCUUUUAUCCGGGACGAUAAUGACGGUACCGGAGGAAUAAGCCCCGGCUAACUUCGUGCCAGCAGCCGCGGUAAUACGAAGGGGGCUAGCGUUGCUCGGAAUCACUGGGCGUAAAGGGCGCGUAGGCGGCGUUUUAAGUCGGGGGUGAAAGCCUGUGGCUCAACCACAGAAUGGCCUUCGAUACUGGGACGCUUGAGUAUGGUAGAGGUUGGUGGAACUGCGAGUGUAGAGGUGAAAUUCGUAGAUAUUCGCAAGAACACCGGUGGCGAAGGCGGCCAACUGGACCAUUACUGACGCUGAGGCGCGAAAGCGUGGGGAGCAAACA
rnacentral:rRNA from 4 species